UACGUGAGUGGCAAGCGUUAUCCGGAAUCAUUGGGCGUAAAGCGUCAGCAGGGGGAUGUUCAAGUGAAAUGUUAAAGCCUUCGACCCAAUCGAAGAUCUGUAUUUCAUACUGUUCAUCUGGAAGAUAGAAGGGGUAAAUAGAAUUUCCGGAGUAGGGGUAAUAUCCGUAGAUACCGGAAGGAACACCAAUAGCGAAGGCAAUUUACUGGUCUAUUCUUG
rnacentral:rRNA from 1 species